rnacentral:rRNA from 1 species
UGGGGAAUAUUGCACAAUGGGCGCAAGCCUGAUGCAGCCAUGCCGCGUGUGUGAAGAAGGCCUUCGGGUUGUAAAGCACUUUCAGCGAGGAGGAAGGGUAGUGUGUUAAUAGCACAUUGCAUUGACGUUACUCGCAGAAGAAGCACCUGCUAACUCCGUGCCAGCAGCCGCGGUAAUACGGAGGGUGCAAGCGUUAAUCGGAAUUACUGGGCGUAAAGCGCACGCAGGCGGUUUGUUAAGUCAGAUGUGAAAUCCCCGCGCUUAACGUGGGAACUGCAUUUGAAACUGGCAAGCUAGAGUCUUGUAGAGGGGGGUAGAAUUCCAGGUGUAGCGGUGAAAUGCGUAGAGAUCUGGAGGAAUACCGGUGGCGAAGGCGGCCCCCUGGACAAAGACUGACGCUCAGGUGCGAAAGCGUGGGGAGCAAACA